rnacentral:rRNA from 1 species
AGUCACUGACAUUAGAUACCCGCGUAGUCCAGGGUGUAAACGCUGCAGACUUGGUGUUGGAAGCCCUUUGGGGGCAUUCAGUGCCGGAGAGAAGUUGUUAAGUCUGCUACUUGGGGAGUACGUCCGCAAGGAUGAAACUUAGAGGAAUUGGCGGGGGAGCACCGCAACGGGAGGAGCGUGCGGUUUAAUUGGAUUCAACACCGUAAAACUCACCAGGGAAGACUGUUACAUGAAGGCCGAGAUGAAGACUCUGCUAGAUUUUCAG